CAUAUAUAUAGAUCGGAGCACAAAAUUAAAAAAGAUUAUUCGUACGUUGUUCAAAACCAAUGAGGGUGGAAGUAUUAUUGUGCACGUGCAAGAACGUUAGAUCCUAAGGACUGGUAGCUAAAGUUGACUAUUUUGAGCCUGCUUUUGCCUCUUAUAAUGUAAGUCUCUGCACUCCUCCCGGGCAGCUAGUGACCAGGAUAAUACCGCAUAUUCCAUAUAUAAGUAAGCUUCAUCAAGGAGAAAGGGUCGAAGACUCGAAGGGCUCUGUUCAGAGAGGCCAGGAGCUGAGGGAGCUGAUGAUGGGAGGCCGGGAAAGUAGAGAGAGACACGCAAUCGUGGCUCCAAGAGUACUGUUUGUGAAGGGGAGGUAUGUGGAGGUGUUGAAAACGGCGGACAAGGGCUUGCUGGGUUUGCGGAGGAUCUUUAAGGGUUUAACCAAACAAGUGUGAAGGGGAGCAUUUUCAACACCUCCUCCGCCAUUUUUUUGGGUAUGUGGGUAUAGUAGGGCUGCGCGCGCAGGUGUUGAAAAUGGCGGUGAGGGCAUGAUCCUCCUAGGCUUCCUUCUCUCCACCACUAGAGGGGUGAGAUACAAGGGUUUGGCGUAAUACAAGUGUUUGGACAGUGGGUUCAGAGAGGAGCUGAGGGAGCCGAUGAUGAGAGGGAAAGUAGAGAGAGACGCAAUCGUGGCUCCAUGAGUACUGUCUGUGAAGGGGAGGUAUGUGGAGGUGUUGAAAACGGCGGACUAGGGCUUACUGGGUUUGCGGAUCGAGAAUCUUUAAGGGUUUAACCAAACAAGUGUGGAGGGGAGCAUUUUCAACACCUCCUCCGCCAUUUUUUUGGGUAUGUGGGUAGGGCUGCGCGCGCAGGUGUUGAAAAUGACGGUGAGGGCAUGAUCCUCCUAGGCUUCCUUUUCUCCACCACUAGAGGAGUGAGAUACAAGGGUUUGGCGUGAUACAAGUGUUUGGACAGUGGGUUCAGAGAGGAGCUGAGGGAGCCGAUGAUGAGAGGGUCGGGAAAGUAGAGAGAGACGCAAUCGUGGCUCCAAGAGUACUGUUUGUGAAGGGGAGGUAUGUGGAGGUGUUGAAAACCGCGGACUAGGGCUUACUGGGUUUGCGGAUCGAGGAUCUUUAAGGGUUUAACCAAACAAGUGUGGAGGGGAGCAUUUUCAACACCUCCUCCGUCAUUUUUUUGGGUAUGUGGGUAGGGCUGCGCGCGCAGGUGUUGAAAAUGGCCGUGAGGGCAUGAUCCUCCUAGGCUUCCUUUUCUCCACCACUAGAGGAGUGAGAUACAAGGGUUUGGCGUGAUACAAGUGUUUGGACAGUGGGUUCAGAGAGGAGCUGAGGGAGCCGAUGAUGAGAGGGCCGGGAGAGUAGAAAGAGACGCAAUCGUGGCUCCAAGAGUACUGUUUGUGAAGGGGAGGUAUGUGAAGGUGUUGAAAACGGCGGACUAGGGCUUACUGGGUUUGCAGAGGAUCUUUAAGGUUUUAACCAAACAAGUGUGAACGGGAGCAUUUUCAACACCUCCUCUGCCAUUUUUUGGGUAUCUGGGUAGGGCUGCGCUCGGAGGUGUUGAAAAUGGUGGUGGAGGGUUUGCUGCGUGAGCUUCUUUGAUGGGUUGCUAAAGAAGAGAGGUCUGGGUGUGUGAGAAGGGUUUAACCAAAUUAAGAAGAGAUCGAGGUCUGGUUAUGUUGUUCGUCAUAAAAAUUUAGUACUGAAAUAUUACAAGACUUGUUCUGGUAUACCUCAUGGCUCAGAGAGAAUUAAACAUGCAUGUAAAACCAUAAUUAAAGCAAAGAGAUUUGCUCUUACCGGUUGACGAAACCGUUCACUGCUUCCAUUUCUCCGAGCUAUUCCUACUAUCUUGUAAGUGAUUAACUCUAUGUCAGGAAUGGAACUGGUUUUGGAAAA